CAGUAGCCGCGGUAAUACGUAGGUGGCAAGCGUUGUCCGGAAUUAUUGGGCGUAAAGGGCUCGCGGGCGGUUUCUUAAGUCUGAUGUGAAAGCCCCCGGCUCAACCGGGGAGGGUCAUUGGAAACUGGGAAACUUGAGUGCAGAAGAGGAGAGUGGAAUUCCACGUGUAGCGGUGAAAUGCGUAGAGAUGUGGAGGAACACCAGUGGCGAAGGCGACUCUCUGGUCUGUAACUGACGCUGAGGAGCGAAAGCGUGGGGAGCGAACAGGAUUAGAUACCCGAGUAGUCCCUGUCUCUUAUAA
rnacentral:rRNA from 1 species